CGCUGCUUGGGAACUUGACAGUAUGGGUCGCUCUUCUCUAAGAUGUGGCUUCUUAAACUGUGGGCCAGUGGGGUAGAGCAGAGUCUGACUACAUAGCCCUGGUCAGCAUGGAAACGGUAACCAUCUAUGUAACUAUGUAGAGAAGGUUGACUUCUAACUCCAAUGAUUCUACUGUCUCAGCCUCCCACAUGCUGGGAUCACAGAGAACCGGUAAGAUGACUCAGUGACUAAAAGAACUUGCCGCCAAGCCUAAAGACCUGAAUUUUGAUCCCUGAAAUAAGCGCUAUGUGCGCGCGCACACAGACACGCACAGACACACACACCCCUAAAUUUAACUUUAAACAUCAUUAAAUGAAAUUUGGCUUAUGACAGAAUUUCCAACAAUUUUUGAGAUGGUCCUAGACUGCUGUUUUGUGCUGGGUAUUUAUGGGAAGUGGCAUUCUCAGCACUGAUGACACUGAAUAUCAAACUUUCAUCUGAGAUUUAACUCUGUAUGUAAAAAUAAACAUGCACACCUAUCUCAUUAGUA